AUGGUUGUAUGGGUCAAAGCAGA
rnacentral:siRNA from 1 species